CCUACGGGUGGCAGCAGUGGGGAAUAUUGCACAAUGGGGGAAACCCUGAUGCAGCGACGCCGCGUGAGUGAAGAAGUAAUUCGUUACGUAAAGCUCUAUCAGCAUGGAAGAAAAUGACGGUACCUGAGUAAGAAGCCCCUGCUAACUACGCGCCAGCAGCCGCGGUAAAACGGAGGGGGCAAGCGUUAUCCGGAUUUACGGGGUGUAAAGGGAGCGUAGACGGUUCGCCAAGUCUGGAGUGAAAUGCCGCAGCUUAACUGCGGAAGUGCUUUGGAAACUGGCGAACUAGAGUGCGGGAGGGGUAUGCGGAAUGCGUAGUGUAGCGGUGAAAUGCGUAGAUAUUAGGAGGAACACCGGUGGCGAAGGCGGCUUACUGGACCGUAACUGACGUUGAGGCUCGAAAGCGUGGGGAGCAAACAGGAUUAGAUGCCCGUGUAGUC
rnacentral:rRNA from 1 species